rfam:Medicago truncatula strain A17 chromosome 4, whole genome shotgun sequence.
CUGCCAAUGAUGAUAUCAUACACCAAAUACCAUCUUUCGGGACUGAAUGGCUUUUUUGCCUUGUUGAUACUAUUCUGCAAUUCUGAGGCAU